rnacentral:sRNA from 1 species
CAUUGUGGUCUUCAAGCAACAACAGCAGCACAAAAAACCCCAACCAAACAAAACUCUUGACAGAAGCUGUGACAACCAGAAAGGAUGCCUCAUAAAGCGAAAGCCCGCGUCGGAGGGCGACCGCCGGCGAGCGGGAGCGGCGCAGGGCUCGGGGCGGGCGGCCAGCUCAGCCCCAGCGCCAGCGCGGGCUGAGCUCGCGGGAAGAAGGGAGACUCCAGGCGCGACAGCAGCCGCGGCUCCUAGCCCCAGCGUCGCCCAAUGCUCCCAACCCGCGGGAAAAGACGAAGAGGCUCUGUGGUGCCCAAGGCCCUGGAACGGCCGCAGAGAGCAACCGCUGCCGGCUGCUUUGUCCAGCCCGAGGCCCAGCGAGCGCGCAGAGAGCGGGCGCUCCGAGGACUCG